rnacentral:rRNA from 1 species
ACAUGCAGUCGAGCGGACAGAUGGGAGCUUGCUCCCUGAUGUUAGCGGCGGACGGGUGAGUAACACGUGGGUAACCUGCCUGUAAGACUGGGAUAACUCCGGGAAACCGGGGCUAAUACCGGAUGGUUGUUUGAACCGCAUGGUUCAAACAUAAAAGGUGGCUUCGGCUACCACUUACAGAUGGACCCGCGGCGCAUUAGCUAGUUGGUGAGGUAACGGCUCACCAAGGCAACGAUGCGUAGCCGACCUGAGAGGGUGAUCGGCCACACUGGGACUGAGACACGGCCCAGACUCCUACGGGAGGCAGCAGUAGGGAAUCUUCCGCAAUGGACGAAAGUCUGACGGAGCAACGCCGCGUGAGUGAUGAAGGUUUUCGGAUCGUAAAGCUCUGUUGUUAGGGAAGAACAAGUACCGUUCGAAUAGGGCGGUACCUUGACGGUACCUAACCAGAAAGCCACGGCUAACUACGUGCCAGCAGCCGCGGUAAUACGUAGGUGGCAAGCGUUGUCCGGAAUUAUUGGGCGUAAAGGGCUCGCAGGCGGUUUCUUAAGUCUGAUGUGAAAGCCCCCGGCUCAACCGGGGAGGGUCAUUGGAAACUGGGGAACUUGAGUGCAGAAGAGGAGAGUGGAAUUCCACGUGUAGCGGUGAAAUGCGUAGAGAUGUGGAGGAACACCAGUGGCGAAGGCGACUCUCUGGUCUGUAACUGACGCUGAGGAGCGAAAGCGUGGGGAGCGAACAGGAUUAGAUACCCUGGUAGUCCACGCCGUAAACGAUGAGUGCU